AUUGAACGCUGGCGGCAGGCCUAACACAUGCAAGUCGAGCGAGCGGCGGACGGGCGAGUCAUGUAUGGGGAUCUGCCAGAUAGAGAGGGAUCACUACUGGGAACGGUUGCUAAUAACGCAUAAUAUCGACUGAACCCAUACGGGAUUAGCUAGUAGGUGGGGUAAAGGCUCACCUAGGCGAAGAGGUCUAGCUGGUCUGAGAGGAUGAUCAGCCACACUGGGACUGAGACACGACCCAGACUACUACGUGAGGAAGCAGUGGGGACUAUUGCACAAUGGGCGAAAGCAUGAUGCAGCCAUGCCGCGUGUAUGAAGAAGGCCUGAGGGUUGUAAAGUACUUUCAGUGGGGAGGCGUUACCCGCAGAAGAAGCACCGGCUAACUCCGUGCCAGCAGCCGCGGUAAUUC
rnacentral:rRNA from 1 species